rnacentral:rRNA from 1 species
GUCUACAAUCAUACUACCUUGAACAUAUUUCAUCUGAUCUUGGCAGCUGUGUAGGAUCAGGCCUGGUUAGUACUUAGAUGGGAGACUGCUUGGGACUACCAGGUGCUAUACU